rnacentral:rRNA from 1 species
UACGUAGGGUGCGAGCGUUAAUCGGAAUUACUGGGCGUAAAGUGUGCGCAGGCGGCAGAGCAAGUCGAGUGUGAAAGCCCCGGGCUUAACUUGGGAAUUGCGCUCGAAACUACUUUGCUGGAGUGUGGCAGAGGAAGGUGGAAUUCCACGUGUAGCGGUGAAAUGCGUAGAGAUGUGGAGGAACACCAAUGGCGAAGGCAGCUCGCUGGGACGUAACUGACGCUGAGACGCGAAAGCGUGGGGAGCAAACAGG